CCGGGAAUAAUCUAUGUGACUACUACAUCUGUGAGCACAUGCACAGUUUUAUGGGACCCAAGGGACUAAAUAUGACGCCACACAACUUUAAAGUACGUAAAAUAAAACUAUUACUAGUUAAUUAUUUUCUAGCUCCUUAUAUUUAAUUGUUCAUGUAACAUUCACAAAUUUCCAAAUUGUAGAUGUUAAAUAUUCAGCAAGGACUCUUGAAGAAAGAAAGAGUAGCGGCAAUAUGUGAAGGUCUCAUUGGAUUACUAAUGGACGAGGUGGUAAAUCCAUAAGGAGAAUUUUAUUACGAUGGACGACAAUUAGACGCUCCGAGCAACACCUCGACAGGAAGAUUGUAGAUAUGUAGUUUGAUUUGUAUAUAUAAUACGCGCUAAGAUCUAUUUGUAUAUAUAGUUGAUUUCAUUAUACUAGUUGAAUUGUGUAUAUGAAUUGUGUAUAUAUUAGGGAUCGGCUAGAAGGUUUUGAGCUUCAUACUACUGCACAAGUAAUCAUGAAGGCUUCGACAAUGGAGUUUAGAAUUGCUAAAGAGAAAGAUAACUUUAAGUCUCGUCAGUCUAAUAUGCAUGCUAUUGAAUAC
rnacentral:lncRNA from 1 species